rnacentral:rRNA from 1 species
AAACCAACAGGGAUUGCCCUAGUAACGGCGAGUGAAGCGGCAACAGCUCAAAUUUGAAAGCUGGCCUUCGGGUCCGCAUUGUAAUUUGUAGAGGAUGCUUUGGGUGAAACGCCAGUCUAAGUUCCUUGGAACAGGACGUCAUAGAGGGUGAGAAUCCCGUAUGUGACUGGAAAUGUUAACCUAUGUAAAGCUCCUUCGACGAGUCGAGUUGUUUGGGAAUGCAGCUCUAAAUGGGAGGUAAAUUUCUUCUAAAGCUAAAUAUUGGCGAGAGACCGAUAGCGCACAAGUAGAGUGAUCGAAAGAUGAAAAGCACUUUGGAAAGAGAGUUAAAAAGCACGUGAAAUUGUUGAAAGGGAAGCGCUUGCAAUCAGACUUGUUUAAACUGUUCGGCCGGUCUUCUGACCGGUUUACUCAGUUUGGACAGGCCAGCAUCAGUUUCGGCGGCCGGAUAAAGGCUCUGGGAAUGUGGCCUUCACUUCGGUGAAGGUGUUAUAGCCCAGGGUGUAAUACGGCCAGCCGGGACUGAGGUCCGCGCUUCGGCUAGGAUGCUGGCGUAAUGGUUGUAA